AUUAUUUUAGUAAAAUUUUAUUAUGUCGUCUUGAUAAGGCGGAGUUCUUUUGAAAUAAUA
rnacentral:tRNA from 1 species